rnacentral:Y_RNA from 1 species
GGCUGGUCCGAUGGUAGUGGGUUAUCAGAACUUAUUCACAUUAGUGUCACUAAAGUUGGUAUUCAACCCCCCACUGCUAAAUUUGACUGGCUU